CUUUUUCAUCAGGUGACUCCUAAAACUACAGUUGGUAGUGUAGACCUAAUUAAUGGGAGGGAAUGGUUGUCACAAGGUAUUAUUAGGACUGUGUCCUGAAGGCUGUAGUUAAGCCUGCACUAUUUCUCAGAGUUGACUGUGCGUAUUUCUGUUUCACUAUUUUUUCUGGAACAGGCAAGCUGCUCUUCUACCAUUUCCCCCCGGCUAUUGUGCUGCAAGUACUAUUGGUCUUGCAAGCAGCUGUUAGCUACGUUGGUUUAUCUUUUAAUUCAGUAGCAUAACUCCUUGGUAAUCCUGUUCAAGUAAAUAGGAGUAGUUAUCUGCUGUUCUUCUUGGUGUUGGUUAUCCAGAUUUUGCCUUCUAGGCCAAAUGCUAGAACGUACUUGGAGAGCUUUUUGUUAAAGCUGUCAUAACCCCAUCCUACAGUUAGCAAAGCAAGGUGAUCGUUUGGGGAGUAUGACACUUUCUCCUGCUUACGUCACUUUACUUAAACAUAUCUUAAUUUUAGUAAUGCAGUGAUACUGCAACAAUGUUCCAGCAGCUCUACCCACUUUAGUAAGUUAGUGAGAAUAUUCAGGCAGCACUCAGGGCCUGUUCUGUUCACUUUAAUGGCUCUGCUACCUAGUCUGAUCAGAACUAUAGGCCUACAUCGCAAACUUUCCACUUGACUAAUGCUCACAUCCUUACAGUAUAUUUUGUAAGUAGCACAGCACAAAGUAAGCAGAGAUCAAACUGUCUGUAGCUGCUCCUAUCUAGAUGUGACUUGCUGGAAGGUACUUCUGCUUGUCUUUAAGUGCUGCAUAAUGCAUGGAUUUGUCCAAUAGGCAGCCUGUGUAUUUGACAGGAAGUGUCUUAUGCUUCUCCUUUUUGCUUGAAUAGCGUUGAACAGCAAUUAUACACUGAUUGUGCUCAUUACAAGUAAAUUCCACAUCCUGUUUAGAAUAGGAUGUACAUAUGAACAAGUACAAAACAUCUGUUGCAUCUUCCUAGAAAUAGCAUCUUGCAAACUUAGAUAUUUCAGCUUCACAGCUGUUCAGAAGCUGUUCUGUAUUUAAAAUUCAAAGCCUUUAAAGGUUGUAUGAAAUAACAGUUUAAAAUAAGUCGCUUUUUCUUUUUUUUUCCCCAGUAUGAUGUAAAAAUACUGUUCUGGAGUUGAUGCUUCCUGCCCUUCUGGGUCAUCAGUCUGUUCAGUGGUGUUCUCCACUCCAUACAGACUAUCAGAGUUAAAAAACAAACAAACCUGGACUGGUUGUUGAAAAGUCCAGUAGAUUUUUCUGUUUCUGCACCUUUCUAAAACCCUACAUUGAGUCUGAUUUUUGGAUGUGCCCACUUGGCCUUGGAGCAAAUAAGAGGUUUUACAACUGUUCAGAAACUCUUUUACUGUAGCUCUUAAGAUGGAAUCUUGCUCUACUUGUCAUACGAUAAAUAAUGAGAUGCUUUGUUGAACUCAGUUGUUUUUCCUUUACAUUUGUUUAACAUGCGAGCAUUGAGACUUAGGUUUUUUUGACAGUUCAGUUAAGCAAGAACAUGUCUGACUUGUGUUAUUUGUUACAAGCUCCCUUGAUGUGGAAUAUUCCCUGUUCAGAGGAGACUCCUGGCCUUCUUGUCUUUUGCAGGAAAGAAAGGAUGAAAUGCAUUCUCUUGCAAGCAGACUUUAAAAAUGUCAGGUAUCCAUUAAAUCUGGUUAAACAAACUGUUCUUCAGUGCAUGAAAGAUGAAAGGGUCAAAAGCCAGCAUAUCAAUACAUGUGGAUGGCCGUGCUUACAAAUAUUUACAGACUACCGAAGGGAGGAUGGUGAGUGAAGGCUUCUACAGGUUAAGGCAUCUGUUUAGAGGAAAGAGUAAAAGUAGAGAUGGGUUGAAGCAAAGAGUGUAUUCCCAGUGCUAACUGGAGGUGUUUUUAAAAAACAAACAACAAAAAAGAGCACCUGAGUGAAAUUUGUCUGUAUUGGGCAGAAAAUGAGCAGGCCUAACCUGUACUUCUUGAACAGCAUACAACUUUUAAGUACCUUCAGGCUAUGUCUAGAGUCAAUUGUAGAAUUGAUUAGAACAGAGGUAUUGUAUGCAAGUGCAGAGUUUUAAAUGACUGAAAGUUUGGAGGAGAAUCUUCUCUGUAUGGAAAACAUCCCUAUUUCAAACACUUGUGCUGCAUUGUGCAUCACAUGAUUGCUGGUUGUUGUGUAAUAGGAAAGCAUGGGUAGUUUUUUUGUUUUUUUGUUUCUUCCAUUCAUCUUAGGGAGCUUGUGAAGGGAAACAUAGAGUGGGGUUGUUUUUAGCUAUAAUUUCCUUUCUUCUGGGAGCUCAUAUCUGAACUGUCAUGGAUUUCUAGCACUUAAUCUGCCAGGUGGAAUACCUUGGUUUCCUGCCUAUAUAGGCAAUUUAAGUAUGCUCUGGGGGUAGUGGGCAACUUGAAGCCCUCUUUCCAUGAGGUGAGGAGAAUGUUUAUUGAUGGUUUCCUUCCCUAGUUUUCUGCGUGGGUGCAGCUAGGUGUGCUUCGCUGUGCCAUGGGGUUAGCACAUAAGAUCUACUUAAGCUCAAGUUUAAGGGCUCUUAAUUUCAAAACUUAAGAUAGUUUUGUUGGCAUUUGAAUGAUAGUGUGAGUUAUUUCUAAACAUCAAAGGAAAGUAACCAUGCUGGAGACUUAAGUUCGUCAAAGAGCUGCAAUUUUACAUCCAAAUUCCCACUUGUCAGCCAGACUAAUGCAAAAUCAGCUUGCAUAUUUCCUGUGCAGUGAAUGGAUAGUGUGAAGUACAUAAGCCUGGAAACCAGCUGAAUGGAAAGGAGGAAGAUUGGCCAAGAGUAAACAAAAAGAGGUGUUGAGUUGUAUCUGUGUUUUACUUUGAGUGCUGUUUUGAAGCUAGAUGUUCAUACCAAACUCAACUUUGUCCAGCUUUUUGCAAUGGCAGAUGUUCUAACCAGAUCAGUGGCCUUGUUACAUGGAGAUGGGAUGAUGAAGCCUCUAAGUAAGCCCUGAAAUAUUGUGCAUGUUCUGCAUCACCUAAAAUUGUCUGUAGGAUAUAAGCAGUCACUUUUUCUUUACUAGUCACAGUUUGUAGGAAUUUAGCUUAUGCUUAUGGGUAGAAGUCAUGGAAAAUGUGUUCAGCGGCAGCAAACUGUAUGUGUUCUUUUCAGUCUUUUUCACUCACACUGUUUGCAUUUACUUUGAGUUUUCUCUAGGAUGUGGUACCCAGCAUAAAUACAAAGGUGUUUGUUUUCUUUCUCUUCCCAUGUGGAAUAGAAACUGUUAAAACUGCUGAUUUUUUUCCCUUCAGUGCAAGAGGUGCCUGAAAGGUGAAAGUCAGUGCUUGAUUCCACAAGUCCGAGUCCUGUCAUCUGUACUUGCUGCUUAACUGACUUCUCAGAUACGAACAGAAAAAAAGAGCUGUAGUUUAAAAAUAUAACAACAAGCUCAUUUCUGCCCUCUGAAAGUAAACUUUCCUGGGACAACCUCCUGAUCUGUUUGGAAAAUGAGAAAAAGAUUCUGGGCAAAAAGCAAGGCUUCUGUGAUUGUUUGCCCGGAGUGUAAAUAUUUCAUGCUUCUCUGAAUGCUUGUGUGGCCUAAAUCUUGCAGCACUGCCAUCUCAGCUAUUCUUAGGUUUGGGGACCAGGAGAAGUGCUCGUUUCCUGUCUUCCCCUCCCCCAGAAUCUCAGUUACCUUGAACAAGGAGGAAAAACGCAACCCGCAGCUGCUUUAUCAGUUCCAGCUGAAGAAUGAUGCCAGUCUGUCCUCACCUGUUGUGGAAGGAGUAGGACAGCAUAGCAGUUACACUGCAGCACUCUACCUAUUUUCUUUUCCAGGAAUGCAAAGGCAUUGCACUUCUCAACUAAUAUUAGAAUGCAGCUUAUCUGAGAGUUAUACGUGGCUUCUCCAAAGUGUGGUUAUUACAACUCAUAACUAGAUCUACUUCUCUGAUUGCCGUCUUUGGAACUUUGAUGCUGUGCACAGGCCUGAGCAACGUGAGAAAUCAGUGAAACAGAGUGUCAUAGUACCCCUUAGUGUAGUGUGAAUGUAUGUAGGUAACAGCCAUUAGUGUCUGUCAGCUGCUGCUUCUCAUCCAUAGUUACAAAUUACUUGUACACGUAGGAGCGAUUUAUAGGUACAGGUAGCAGCGCCUGUUUAGUCUCUGCAAUGUCAAACUGCUUCCCUACUUAAAAAAACAGCACACAAACAAAAAAGCCUCCACCAACAACCAUACAAAUCUUAAUUGCCAGCUUGAGCCAUAGCAGUAUGAGGAAGUCCAUGGUAGCCCCUCUGGUUUUCUCCUAAGGGAGAAAUUUAAAACAAAAGAAAACAUAUCCUCUGUCUGUAGUUGCUGUUUUGAAAAGUAAAAUAGCAUAACGACAGUUCUCUUGCUGCAUACGUUUAUUGGCAGUGGUACAUGGGUGUUAAAAGUGGGGAGAGAAGAGUCUGGGGUAUUGUGUUGAUCUCGCAUUUGCAGUCAAAGUGUAUGUACCCUUGAUAUAAAUAAUCUCUCUUCCUGACAAAUCGAUCUGCAGCAAUCCACCUAAGGUGUGAAGCUUCUUGGUGCUGCAGAAUGUGUGCAGAAGUGGCCUGGAAUCACUUGGGCAAGAGGCAGAUAGAUAGUAGCUUUGGCAUGGAGAAGAGUCCCCGUGUGUGGAGCAUAGCUGGAAGCAGGAGGCUUGUCCUAGCAUGCUCCUCCUGCAGCUUCUGACUGUCACUAGUGGAUAUAAGGGAUCUUUCAUUUCAGUGUUAGGUGUAUUUUGCACGGUGUACUUUCCUCUUACGUAGCAGUGGUGGUCAUGCUCUAUUUGCGGGUGUUGGUUUGCAGUUUCAUUUGGGGUUUUGUUUCACUUAAAGUUUGGUUGUGAAAACUGGAUAGAUCUCAGCUGCUGGCUGUAAUUCUUUCUGCUGAAGUAAAAACGUAAUAAUGCUAGCAUUAGCUGCUUUAGCUAUGAGAAGAGGAUACAGACUGAGAAAAUGUUGAACUUCAGGAGAAAAAUGUCUGCUUCCAGAAAGACUUACAGCCUGUUGCAUCACUGCUUAGGCACAGACAGUAAAGCCUUAAUCCUCCGGUGUCUGAUUCAUGCUAAUUCAGUGUUAAAGAGGCACAGCGCUGUGGUCACUUGGCUACUGAGAUUCUUGAGCCGUUCUGCUUUGCUCAGAUAAAUUCCUAAAUUGUGCAUGAAAACCAAGAAGUUUGUUGCUAAUUGAAUGCUUUCUACAGGCUUGUGAUUUUAGUUUGCAGUUUGUGCAAAGUAGUUUUAAUGUCUUUAUGGUAAUGUUAUAAGAAGUUAGUAAUAAGGUAGCAACUGUGUGAACACCUAUGAAGUGUGAUGCGAGUAUUGACUACCACUAUUGAAAAGAUAUAAAGGAAACAUUGAACAGUGCAUGUGCUACAGCAGUAAAUAAAUCACCUGAAGGACAGUAACUUAAGUCAACAUAUGUUCCUUUUAAGCUGUAGGAUCUGCUACUGCAUGCGAGUCUGUGGGUACUGAAAGGUCUGUAUGUAAGUGGAACUGGUAACACUACCCAUGUUCUCAGCUUUUUAGCUUCCCAGAAAUCUUAAUGAUGAAGUUACAGGUGCUGCGUUUUGUUCUCAAAGGCAGUAGAAUCCGAGCAGGGGAAAUCAUGCUCCAUUCUUGUUUACAUGCUGUAGAAUAAAGGCUCUUGCUUGUGAGAGCUUACCGAAUGUUUUCCAGGCUGUGAUCCUUUCAUGGGAAAGGAGUGUAUCUAAGUAGUGGGUGGGGUUUAAGAAGCUUUUGUUUCAAAAUGAGCCUUUCACAAUUCUUGAUGCUGGUCAGAUUAUACAUACCUCAGCUGUAUGAAAUAGAUGCAACUUAGCCAUGUGUAACAAAGCCUUUUCACACGUAUCUCUUGCAGGCUGGGAAUAGCAUUAACUAGAUCUAGAAGAGACUUGAGUGAAUUCUUCAUAUAAUGCGCGCUCAAGGCUACUCUAAGCUGAAUGUAUGAGUGUGUGCUGCUGCUGUUAAUCGCCUCUAAUUGCAGUAAUGUUUAGGCAAGAAAAGAAGCCACUUGGUUCAAAGGAGCUUUUUGAUGGAAGGUCAACAAUAAUAAGCAGGAAACUAAGUGGUGGGUUCACAUAUACGCAUAACAAAUAAGGGUGAAGGACUGCAUUAAUAAGGGAAGGAAUUGGUGAGUUGAUGAUUUUGAACAGAGCUAAUCUGGAAGUAGAGGGGUUGUUUGUGAAGAACUACCUUCAGCAACUGUGAGUGAAAAGUGAGUCCUGUGUGGGGACCUGCUGAAAUGAAAUGGUUGUCAUCUAAUGGCAUCAAGAAGUCAGUGCAGAACUCUGGGCCUGGAACCACAGAAUUGGCAAAAGAUCACUAAGGUGCUUGAUGGGAUUGUUUGCUUGGCCUUGAGACUGGAGGCGUCAUGGAGUGAUGCUAGAUGGAGGAAAGAAGUCUGUGUCGGUACAACAAAGUGUGGAGCGAUAGCAGUAGGACCGAGCUGAUGGUGACUGCAGGCUUGGCUUGGUGCUGGGAUGCUGCCAGCUCUCUUAAUGAGCUCCAACUGGGAAGUGGGGUGUCAGGACAUGUUGUGGAUGUGGGAGGCAAUACUGGUUUAUGGUGUUACCUAAGCUGCUCUUCUCUGCUCCUGUAGAUUACUGUUCUGACAUCAAAGCUCGGUGCUCCAUCGCUGCAGUUGUGUUGAUGGAUGCUGAGCGCGCGCUCUGAGCAGGAGACCGCUCUGCUCAGUCAGUAGAGCACUCUUUCCCACACCUCAGUUUUUGAGACAGGGCCCAGUGCAGACCCGACUACGAUCCUUCAAAAUAGAAGGGAGCUGUUGUAUGUUGUAGAACAUAAACCUUCCAAGCCCAUGUUGCUACAGAAACAGUUAUUUUAUUCACUUCUAUUCCAACAGUGUAAGUGGGUUUUCACACGUCACAUCAGUGCCUCACAUCAAGGGCUUAAGUAACGAGAAACUAAUCACAAGUUAUUAAUGAAAAAGGCUUCAGGAAUUUCAUCCUUUUGAAAAUCUAAGGCACAGAUAGGGGGCAAAAUCUCAAAGGCAUAUUGUUAAACAUUUACCGCAAGAUGCUAUUAGCUGUAGACUCAUUAGCUUGUCACAAUUUAACAAAACUAUUUCUACAGCAAAUAUGAAGCAGGCUUUGUCCUUUGUUUACAACUUGACAAGGAAAAAAUUAGGCAACAGCAUGUGGCCUAUAAUUACAGACUUUGUUAAACAAGAGGUCUGGUUGUUCAGGCAGCCUGUUCUGAUGCUUCUCAACUUCUUACUGUUUCAUUUUGUAGAGUUACAAUAGAGAUGAGCUGAACUUGAUUUUCUGCAAAUGUUUCUUCUGAGCAUCAAACAUUUCUCACUUUCAUUUCAUGGGUCGAAACAAUGCAAUUAAAACAAUGGGCUUAAUGACAGAGCAAGUCUUGCUUCAUCCCCCACUCCUUUCCGUGGUAGCUCCAGUACUUCACAAGUUACUCCUAAUGCUGGCAGAGAAGCUGAUGUUUACAGCUCAGUCUGACGCUUUUUGAAUACAGUCUUCGGUCUUCUCUAGCAAAUUAGAACCAGAUGGGAACGGUAGGGAGCAGAAUGGAAUUCAAUUCUGUUUUGUGGCUUGUGAUGUUAACAAAACUCUUAGGUUUUUUGAAUUGUUAUUUUGGCAAGAAAAUGGCUGGUAAUCCUUCUGGUCCAGUCACUGUAAUGUGCAGUUUCCUUCCAGUGCAUUGGGCUGUAUGCACUCACUGCGAUGUGUUGCUUUGCUUCCACCAAAGUGGUGGACUGCGGUAUGAGCAUAUUAGAGAUUCUUUUUUUUCCAAGUAAAAGGAUCAAAAAACAGUACAUCCUGACAGGAAAGUGUUUUCUCUGCUCAUCUGGCACUGCUAAUUCUGAAGCAAAAUGCCUUUUCCAGCUCUUUUGUCCUUUUCUCCCUACGCUGCCCUAACUGAAAGUACCUGAAGUAGUAGAGGAAUACAUAGUGGCGUUUGAUGAGGGAGAUGGACUAGGUCACGCCAAACUGAAAUGGUCACGGGCUCUUCAGCACAAACAGGAAAAGGACUUUUUCAUGUAGCUACUGCUGUGCUGCUUAUGCUGGUUGGUGCACUCUCAGGAAGAGAUGCAAUCUGGUGAAUCACAGAAAUGACACUUCCUGUUGGGCUGUGGGGAUUUUCUUACAGCUUUCCUGUGUAGCCACCGGAGCUGGUUUUGUGUAGCCUGUGUGCCCAGACAAGGGCUGCUCAGAGACAGAAGCCAAACAGUUAUACAUAGAGUGUAAUAGUUUCUGACUCAAAGUGUGUGAUAAUUGCAAAAAUAUUGUAGGGUGUGGUAGGAAGUGCUGUGUCUAAUAUUGCUGAAUAGCUGUCACUUCGUAAUUUGCCUAAAAGAACACAGUAUGCUAACUCUAAUUAACGUACAGAGGUGGGGGAAAGCUUUGCUUUUCCCUCAUCAUAUGGAACCUGUUAAUGUGCAAGAAGUUGUUCCAAUACGCUGGAGUUGUAUUGAUUUUUCUUCCAGUUGUUCAAUCUUAAACUCCAUUAUUUCUGAUUUCCUACAGAAAGAGAGUCUGCAUGCAGGAGAGAAAGUUAUAGCUUCAGAAAGGUUACUUGGGGCAGUGAGUAUUGGAAGCAGUGGUAAAACCUCAAAUUACUAUCAGAUUUCACUCGGAAUUGAAAAUAUGUAAUGAAAAAGCAUAGUUUAAAAUAGUCUGUAUCAAUUGACUAUUGUGAAAUACAUAGCUGGUUUUAAACAGUUAUUCUUAGAAAUAUUCCUAACAGUUUCUUACAAUACUGUAUUCCAGUGUCAAAAACAAGACUGAUGCUGUUACCCAGCACACACUCGAGGAGAAUUUAUGUAUAUCCUGCUGCUUUGGUGAUUUUCUUAAUAAACUGAGUGUCACAACUUCAAGAGGUGGACAGACAGGAGAGAGGGUGGUCAUGCUUUCAGGCAGAUAACUUCAAUGCAUGAGAUCUUCAAGAAGAACAAACAUAACUGACACUAUUUUUCAUAGUAAUCCACUCAAUUAAAUCUUGCACUUCUGUAAAGCAGUGGCAUGCUCUGCAGUGCUUAGAAAUAUCAGCCUGCUGCUUUCUGGGAAGCAUAUUCCCCCGGGGCUUAAGUUCAGGGCUGAGUCUAAAGACUCUUAAUGCCUUUAUUGUGCUGUCUCUAUGAUACAACGCAGGCGUUUGUGAUGGAAAUAUUUCUGUGGUCAAGUGGAAGUUCUUUUUUUUUUUUUUGGGUGGUCUGUUAGAUAAAUGGGAAUGCUUUUGAUACGAAUACAGAAGCUUUCUGAAUGUGGAAUAAUGAAAUGAUGCAUUACUCCUGCAUGCAAUUUUGUUACUUCUUACCUGGUGUUGUCUUUUUACCCCAGUGCAAGGUGUGAGCUCUGGAAGAAGAAUCCUUCCUCUCCCAUGUUUUAACCUUUGCUGUACUUGCUCCAGUCCUUAUACAGCAAACUGUUUAUUGUGGUGGACUGUGUUCUGGUGCACCUUCGAGGAAGUGAAAGAGUUAAUGCAGGAUUUGGAUUAGAGGACCGCCUAGAUUUCUCAGUGUAGUAUCUUACAUUCAGCUUCCAAAAGAGACUGUUUCAUAGGAUAAUCUGUGUUUCCCAGUGUUUUGAACCUAAGUGUUGCCACUGCCCUUUGAGUUGUCAUUUCUGGGCUCAGGUGAUCCUAAAACAUGAGCUAGUAUGUAAAGCUCUGCUUGAAAUGCAGUCCUCACACCAUUUUCAGUAAGCAGAACUAAUGCUUCCAUUCCUAAAUGAAGUUCUUGUUUGGAUAAAAAGGGCUAUAUGUUUUAAUUAGAUACAACUAAGGUCCAUGUACCUCGUUUCAGAUACUGAGAUUUUUUUCACAUAUUUUUAAAUGAAAAUAUUCCUUACUGCUGAAUGACAGCCAUGUAAACUGCUGCUAGACUGUGUGAGUAUUUGUUCAAGGAAAAGCAUGUUUUCAGAGUGUGGUUUUCGGACUUCCAGACUGAUUACACAAGCUCAAGAAGGCCCACCCCACAUCCUGUGUAGAAAGCCAGUUCACAGAAAUGCCCAUUGUUCAUCAGGAUUAUAAGUCACUGUACUUUCUGCCCGGUCCCUUUUUCAAAGCACUAUAUAGAAAAUCUUAAUGUAAAUGAACUCCAGCAGCUUAACAAGUGCUUGGUCCUGCCAGGUACUGAGCACUCUGCUCAUACUGAAAUGGAGGGAGGGGGGAAUAAACACACUGGCCUCUCUGGCUAGAAAACAAAGGUGUUGUGUUGAUUAAAAACAGCUGAGGAUGUUCUAUUCUGUGAAUCAAUUGAUAAUUUACGUACUUUGAGCCUGAAAGUUGCAGCAGCCAUGCCGGUAUUUACUUUCUUGGGGAGAAGAGAGGAGUUACAAGGAAUGCAGUUUGCUGCAAGCCUGGUAAAUUUGUCUUGGCAGUGCUUCCUCCCUGCUCACUUGCUAAUGUAAAAGGAGGAUGGGGUGUCUGGGUCUCAUAUCCCACAGUGCUGAGAUCUGUGCUGUUCUACCUACGAGUUAACUGGGCCUACCCAUGAAGAAGGAAGCUAUUGAGUACUCACAGUACUCACUCAGCCUUUUUUUUUUUCCCUGCUUCCCCUAAGCUAUCAUCUUGGAGAAUAUAUUUUUAAAAGGUGAGGUGCAGUUUGUCAUGUAACAUUUUCUAACAGGAAAAAGUGUUUCAAGAUGAAUUUUAAAUCUUAUUCAGUGUGUGUGUGUGUGUGUGUGUGUGUGUGUGUGUAUACAUACAUAUAUAUACACACUGAAUAAAAACACCAAGCACUGAUGUUGCUUGGUAGAGUUCAGUAUGUGUUUAAGACCAAAAUAUCAGUUACAAUGCUGUUGAGCACAGGCCUGCCAGGGGAAUAUUCAAGACUGUAUUUUGCUUUACAGCGGUCCUCUGAAAGGAAUCACCUCUCUCCAGUUGCUGCCAGUCUCCUGACUGUUCAGCAUUCCCCAAACAUGUGGCCCAUAAAAUGGGAUUAUAAGGGAAGGCAUUCAAGUAAGCAGAAGUUCCCUCAGGACAAGAUUUGCUUUCUCAUGUGGAGCUGCUGCAUGCUGCAGCCUGGCUGCUGCUGGCCCCAUCCCUGGCCAGGGCCUGGCACUGCUCCUCCAAGUGAGCCAGCUCUGACGCUGGCAGGGUGUACAGCCUGCCCCUGUCCUGGGGUAUACAGUGUUCUCCUGAAUAGCUGGCACAGCAGACCCCCUUCGCUGUACUUUUGGAAGGGCUCACCUGAUUACGAGUAAGGGGAACUCACCAUUUCUGUGUCUUUUCUGUGUCUGCACGUAGUAGGAAAUGACUGGUCCCGUGGCAUGGAGCUAGCUGCCAAAAAUCUGCAGUGGGCUAUAUCCAGCAGUGACUGUACAGUACUGCUGAAGUGGCCCAGUGUGUUCAUGCAGUAUGUUCCUGGAUAAGUGGCUGGGUUUUUUUUACAUGUGUUUCUUCGAACAGCAGUUAUAUUGGUGGGUAAUAAGGUGAUUAUCUCAGUGAUUGUGUGGUCCUGUCCAGCCUGUUUGUUGAAAGUGCUCAUCCUCAACUUCAGUCUGUAGUUUGAUCGCUCUCGGGUUCUCUGUUGAGUCAAAACAUUACAUCAGCCUCAGUGAGGAGCAUUCCCAGUCCUGCUCCCUCAUGGUCUGCAGCUGGUGCUGGCCCUGCCAAUUCACUCUGUGGUUGCUGCUUAGCAGGAUUAUGCAGCAUGAGAUAUAUCAAGGUACAGAACCUUCAGACUUUGUUCCUUUCAGCGUAUUUUCUUUCACAUUUAAAAAUAAAACCAUGAAUCUCAAGUGUCUUUUGUCCUUCUUUCUGGCCAGGGGAUGUUAGUUGUCACCCCGGCAAUGGUUCUGGUGGUAGAAGUCACCUUGUGCUGAUAGCGAGACUUCAGAAUCUGAUGGCCUUGUGUCAGCUUCUAGAGGUACCACUUUGUACGACAGUGUGGAGACUUCAGUCCUCAGAGGCUACAGCCAGAAAUGCUCCUUAAGACAAUAGGAGUUCAUCAGUUCACAUACGUGUGCUCCAGGCUGGCUGGGGUCACGUUGCUGAUGACCGUUAGUGGGGAGUGUUGAUUUCAUGGUCUGCGUAGGACAGAAUGCAGACUCGUGCCUCGGAGACUCAGCGUGGUUAUGUGUUUUUUCCAUUACCUUUCUUCAGGGGUGACUCUGAAGAGAAACUGUUACACUCAUUGCAGUUGGCCUUAGUGUGAAGCUUUGAACAAAUUCAGCAGUAAGAAUUCUGUUUUCUGAAGAAACCGAAGCCUGCAACUCUGCUUUCUCAUUCUGUACUGAGCGGCCCUGUGAGCAGAGAAACCAGCCCAGUUCCUGCCCUGCUCAGAAGUGGUGAUUUCAUGCACCUGCGUACACCCUACAUUAGUCUAAGCAAAGAAUUAUUUGAAGUUAAAAAUAGCUGUUCCAUUUUGCUUGUUGGUAGAAUGGGUUAACUUCUUUCCAAAACAUUCAGAAUGCGUAAUGCAUUUAUGAAAUCAAAAGUGGUACAUUCAGGGCCUAUAACUCACACCACAGACGACUGUGGGGUUGCCAGGAGUGACCGCACUCAGGAGUAAUGUCGGUGUCACAGGUGGGCAAAGCUCACGUAUCUGGAGGGUCCCGUUUGCUACGCUGGUGGGUAUGGGGUGCGUGAGAGAGCAGGCUGCCUUGGGUUAUGCUAGUCUACAGAUGGGACUACUGAUUAUUCUAGACCUUGAAUUCUCUUCCAGGUUGGAACUUUUUUGGAAGGCCUGUGGCUUCUGGGUGUUCUGUACUGAAGUCUAUUUAAAGCUGAGAGCUGCUUGUUUCUCAUUGUAUCUUCUAUAUAAACCAGUCACAUAUUCAUUAUAUUUCAAAUGUACGAGUGUUAAAAAACAGGAUUGUUAGAUCAGAUUUUCCAAAGUUUGAGGAGAUUAAUUAUAUUUUUAAUACAUCCAGGUUUAUAGGAUCUGCUGAAUUAUGAGGGAGAGUAAUGACACAAUUACUGUAUUUUCCAAACAUGAGGUAGAACAUAUAGAUCCAACAUCAGGGAACUGAAAACGUCUUGUGAAUAAUAACAGCAACACCUGCUUGUAUUUCACUUCAUAAUUUCUGUGUGGGGUCGUUCACGUUGUAGAAAAUGAGGUUUUAUGAACAAGCUUUUGAGGGCAAUGGUACGUUGCUAAGGCUGCAGUGUUUUAUGUUAUGCUGAGUGGAUUCUGUCUUGUAAAUCAAAGGAGACACAUAUCCAUGACCUCAGCUCCAAGUUCUGCAGUUAGCAUUGAUUUAAAUUAACAUGGUUUCUAUGGGAAAGAGCUUUUUAGAAAUCUUGGAAAAUUGGAGGUGUAUUCAGUGGAGGGCACGUGGCAGUGGAGCCCCGACUCUGGCUGCUGAGAGCUGCCCAUUUGGCUUCAGCAGGUUGUGCACUAUUAAACCUAACUGAAACCUGCAGAUGGGGCAUGCUGCUGAGUUAAGUGGAAUCAACAUAAUUGCUUGGUAAUAACGAGUUGUAAGCCAAGCAGAUAUCCUUACGGGAGUCUUUACCAAUUCAUUUCAACCUGUUCAGUAAUGUAGUGCAUCAUUUAAUGAUUCAGCAAAGUCGAUUGUGUUUCCCUGGUUAAUGCAAGCUUCCUUUCCUCCCCAGUUCACCUAGAUUGUGGCACUGGCAGUCAGGUGAGAGCGCUCAACUGAGCAUGCUGAUUAAGCAGAAAACUGAUCACUUUCCUUAUAGCAGCCAGUUGAUGCUUUUUAGCUCUGAAUUGGCUUCUCGUGGGGGUCACGUGAGUGCCAGGGCUAGUGCAAGUGAAGCAGGAUGGGGAACCUGCUGCUUUGUCAGCAGUCAGUGGUCAGAUUUUGUUUCACAGUUUUAUUGCUAAGUUUUACACAGCUCUCUGGAAAGCUGAGGACGUUGAAGGCGUUGCCUCCCAGCAGCUGAGUGCUGUGCUCUUGUAGGUACUGCUGCUCAGUUUCUCAGCUGCUCGGCCCAAAGGAGGGAACAGGCAGGGAACACAAAUGUGACUGAUUUCUUGCUUCAGGGAUCUGCCUAGAAAUUUCUAGGGUUGAUGUGGAGAAGUCUUACCAAUCAAGUGUGGUGCAGAUGAUCCUAUUUGUAUGUUUUCAUUCAGAUGAGAUGACACUGGUGCCACUUGUGUCUAGGCAAGUCUUGGUACAGGUUUGGACAGGUUUGUUUAGGCACACAAGCCAUCCUGAAGGAGAUUGGAGGCAUUCAGUGCAUUGCUCUGUAAAACAGAGUAGUAGUUAAAAAUAAAUAAAUAAAUAAAAUGCAAAAAGUGCUGGUUAAUAUCAGUGGCAAUGAACUAGUGUAACUCAGCAUGCAAAUCCCAGCCAGUUUUAUCUGGGUCAUUAGGCUGGUGUCAAAGUACUGAAAUCAGUUUUUAGACUGAGUAAGACAUUAGGAGGUCACCAUCACCUUGGAAAAAACCUUCAUUUUCCAUGUGAAGUUGAAAGGCCCUGAGCACCCUCUCUGAGGACUGGAUUUUACUGUUACAAGUGACACUAGAGAUUACUAAAACUGGAAGAAGUCAGAUGAACCAAACACUAUUUCAUUUUCUGUUUAGUGCAGUCGUUAGUGUUCUUGGCAGUGUUUCCUAUGUAUUCAGUUUCAGUGGGUUUUUAUGCUUGGUUGUGCUUCCUGUCUUAUAUAUUAGCAUAAUGAUGUCAUUCUUGUAUACCGCUGUGGGGGAGCAUGGUUGUAUGUUCUUCCUCAACCUCUGCAGGAAAGGCCUGGCCCUCAUGUGAGAUGACUUUGGUUCUACUUGGAUGUUUGAAAUCCACGUGGGAGGGUCCCCUGUUUUGUGAGCCUCUGUAUGGAAAUGUGGAGCAGAGCAGGAGGAGCGGGCAACAGGAUUUCAUGCUUUCUUCUGUAGGAGAGACUUGUAGGAUCGUCCAUCUUCAACUCCUGUCAGUGAGCAGCUGGAACCUUUGUGACCCCGUGUUGAGCUGUGGAAAGGCAGGAAUGGGCAGGGAAGCCACCUACCUCUGGAGCAAACAAAGCAAUGCAACCUCAGAGCAGGAGCGUCAGCCACAUCCUUGCUCCUUUGGCUGGGCACUGAGUGUGAGAGGAACCUACUGAGAAGGCCCCAUCUGCAUGGUGUUCUUUGGUGACCAGGAGAGCAGCAGGCACUGAGCAGAAUGUGUGAUUUGUUCUUCUGGCAUGUCCUAAGGAGGCAGCAAGUGUGGGAGUGGUUUUUCCAUGGGGAUAUCUCUGGGAGCAGGCAGGUCCCAGCACAUCUGGGCAGGUAGGCUUGGGCCUGCUGCUCUUGCUGUGGCCUGAAGCGCACAGCAUGCGCCAGCCUGGGCUGUACAACAGGAGCAGUCAUUAUGCAGAAAGCUUGAAAUGAUAGAAAUCUGCAUAUUAAGAUGACUUUGGAAACACUUCUGGAAGACUUUGUCCCUUUAAAUCUCGUUGGAAGGGUCUCUUCCAGUGUGAGUCAUUUGCAGCUGUAGAGGACCCCGGGCAGAGCCUUCCUCUUCUCUACUGAAUAGGGUUGUCAGAGCUCCCAGGGUCAGCGUGGGGAGAAAAAUACCCUGAUUCAUUUCCCAACCAGAUAUGCAUAGGAGAACUCCCAUAGGGCUGCUGCUGCGGGGGUUGUGGCUUUGGUUUUCCAGUCGCUCUGCUCUACAUAAGCGACAUGCAGCUCCAAGGUCCCACCCAGAGGACUGAAACACCCCAGAGCCCGUCCCCAGGCAGCACACAAUGGUGUUGAUAUGACUCUUGCUACAGAGGAAGUGGCUUCUGUUAUAACCAGAGAGCAAUCUGCCAAAGUCCACAGUCUGGGCAGUUGCCAAGCUGAGUUUGACAAAAAUAUUUAACUUUGACUUUCAUCUUAGCUUUUUCUCAAGAUAAUUCUCCUACUUCCUACCAUUGAAAUCUCACCUAUGCUAGGAUUUUUAUUUUUACGUAAACUAAUCUAUGCUUUUACUCAGAGAAAGUAAUAUACAACAGAUUAAAAUCUUUAACAGAUCAUGAAAAUAGUCUAAAAUGUUGUCAGUACAAUAACAAAACUGGUGUUAGGCUCUAUGCAGCUCAGGGCGUUGCUCAGGGUUUUUUUGUGCCCUCUCCUGUUCCUGCUCAGAGCAGUCUGUUCUUGAUCUGAAUUAGACACUGGAAAUACUACAGAGGUACUGUAGCAGAGAAGACAGGGUGUGAAAACCUUGGGAUAUUUGAGGCCUCAGGCGCCCCCUUGUGCCCUUUCUUUUUUGUGUUGCAGUGCCAGCAAAUGCAAGGGACACAGGCUGCACAAAACAGCUGAGCCUCAGCUGCAUCAUUGCGUGGGGCCUGCGGGGUGCUCUGGCACUUGCAUCGUGCUCAGUGAUAGUUUGGAUGUGUAGGAGUUGCUUGUUGAUAAGUAACACAAAGUUCACCCCAACUAUACAAUGUGCUUAUUGAGAAGUUUUGAACGUACAAAAGCUAUUAUUCUCUUCUAAAAGACAAGAGUAAGGUUUUGGAUUCAUUUAAAGAUGGUAAGAUUUGUGGGUUAUAAAUUUUGUCUGGUGGGCCUGAUUUUAAGUUGGGUUUUGAACCUCCCUGAUUCUUAAGAAUACUAUGCAAGCUUAGAUUUCUUCCUGUCUACUCCAUACUGUUUUCAGUCAUCCAUCUCAGGACACGGAGAAGAUGGAGUUCUUGAACACCUUUGUUGCUACAGUCUUCUACACCUUAGGCUGCCCCUUGAAAAUCUCAGGCCCUGGAGAUAGGAAGGAGAGUGGGGAAAAGAAUACUUCCCUUGAUCAAGGAAGAUCUGGUCAGGGAUCAUGUAGGCAAAAUUGCUGCACACAAAUCCACAGGCUCUGAUGAGAUGCACCCAUGAAUGCUGAGGGAGCUGGCAGAGGUGAUUGCCAGGCUGCUCUCUAUCAACUUGGAAAGGUCAUGGCAAACAGGAGAGGUGCCUGUGAACUGGAGGAGUGCCAUUGUCAGUCUGGAUGUCAUUUACAAACAAGUGAAAGAAGAGGAGGUUAUCCAGAGUAGUCAGCUUGGAUUCACCAAGGGCAGAUCACACUUGACUAAUUUGGUAGCCUUCUGUGAUGUCAUGGCUGGCAGGGUAGAGGUAGGGAGAGCAGUGAACAUUAUGAACCUUGACUUCAGCAAGGCUUUUGACACUGUCUUCCAUAACGUCCCCGUGAGUUAGGUUAGCUUAGGAGAUGUGGGAUAGGUGAGUGGACAAUGGAGUGAAUUGAGAACUGUCUGACUGGCGGUGCCCAGAGGGUUGUGGUCAGUGGUACAGAGUCUGGUUGGAGGCCUGCAGUGUUCCCCAGGGGCCAGUACAGGAUCUGUUCUUGUUCAACAUCAGUGACCUAGAUGAAGGGAUAGAAGGCCUUCUCUGCAAGUUUGCAGAUGAUAGAAAGCUGGGAGGAGUGGCUGACACACCAGAAUGCUGUGUUGCCAUUCAUUCAGCAAGACCUGAACAGGCUUGAGAGUUGGGUGGAGAUGAACCUGAUGAGGUUCAACAAGGGCAAGUGCAGAGACCUACACCUGAGGAGGAAUAACCAUAUGCAUGAGUACAGGCAAGGGGGUGACCUGCUGGAAAGGAGCUCUGUAGAGAAGGACCUGAGUGUCAGCAGGUUGUCCAUGAGCCAGCAGUGUGCCCUUGUAGCCAAGAAGGCCAAUGGUAUCUGAAAAGAGUGUGGCCAGCAAGUUGAGGGAGGUGAUCCUCCCCCUCUACUCUGCCCUGGUGAGUCCACAUCUGAAGUACUGUGUCCAGUUCUGGGCUCCCCAGUUCAAGAAAGACGGGGAACUGCUGGAGAGAGUCCAGCAGAGGCCACAAAGAUUAUUGAGGGCCUGGAGCAUCUGCUGUAUGAGGAGAGGCUGAGAGACCUGGGGCUAUUGAGCCAGGAGAAGAGAAGGCUAAAGAGGGAUCUUGUCAAUGCUUAUGAAUAUUUAAUAGACAGCAGUCAAGUGGAUGGGGCCCAGUGGCAGAAGAAGGAGCAACUUGCAGAUAAUUUUAUGAUGCAAAAGCAACUGAGCAUAAUCGAUACAGUGUGUUCUUUGGGGAUUCAAGAUGUUGCUUAUUUCUGUUGGACUAACCCUGAGAAGUUUUAGACUGGGCCACCUGCCAUUCUGUGGUGGCAAUUCUAGCUAAAGAGCAGUUUCUAUCAAUGUACUUCUCCUGAGUUUGUUUCAUGUAGCAGUAACUAGAAUAUAAAGCAAUAGUGACCAUGGUAUACUUAGCCAGGUUCCAUCUACUUCAGUAUCCCAUCUCCAGCAGACACUGUAACCUUAAUAAAAGCCUAAGAACAGCAAACAUUGGACAGAUUGCUGUGCAAGAUUGUCUAGUCUUCACAACAUCUUUUGGCAAGGAGUUCAGGAAAUCAGCUGACCCCUGGGGGAGGAGCCACCUCUUUUUCUUUGUGUUGAACUGCCUGUUAUCUUCACUGGGUGUUACCUCAGCCUUCAAUCGGAAGAAGAAUGAACAGUGACCAUCCAAGGUGCUCGGGAUUUUACAGUCUUCUGUUAUAUCCUUCCAGUUGUCUCUUUUUUCAGUCUGAAAAGUCCUGUCUUAUUUAAUGGAAAUUGUAUCAUAUCUGUAAAUAAUACAAUCUGUAAAUCAAAAAUAAAAAUCCCGACAGUUGCUUUGAGUCUUGAAUUUCUACUGGGGAUUGAAUUGAUGCUUUAGGAACUUCCUAUCAUAACUUCAGUGUUUUACUUCUGAGUGCUAAUGGUCAGCUCUGAAUACAUGCAGGAGCAGGUAUGUGCAAAGUUAGAAUUGCUUUUUCUGCCUAUACAUCAUUUUACACUUACCUACAUUGAAUCCUACUUGCUAUUUUAUGACCAGUUAAUUCCUGUUCAAUCUGUUGCCCCUCAUGCUCACCACACUGAAUAUCACUAAACUAUCAUAAUCUUGUCCACCCCCUUUUCCUAGUAUGCUGAACCUGACAGCUCUACCACAAGUCUGAGGAGCUGUGCUAGUGAACUUUGUCUACUGAGAGCACCUUGACCAGAAAGAAGAGACUUCAGACAGCUCUUCUACCCUGCAAGGACCUUUCCUUAAAAGCCUUGUUGAGGAACACGGUUGGAAGCUUGCUGGCAACUCAGCUAUGUUUAUCAACCAAACCAUCCUCAUCCAUGGACCUUCUGAGCCCUUCAAAGAAGCUGGAUUGGUACUUAAUGCAGACAGUCUUGGUUCUUCCAAGGUGUCUCAUGUUUAAUAAUAGAUGUUUAAUAAUUUUAUUCCUUGUUAAAGUUUAUACUACUCGCUGAUAGGUGAAGUACCAGAGAUGAUGAAAGAAACAGGUUUUUUGAGUAGUUAGACCUCUUGAGAAGUGCUGAGUGAAGCACUUUAAAAGGCAGUGCAAUUUGAAUGGUUUGCAUAGCUGAGAUAGCUAAUGUAAAUGGAUUCGGUAACAAAUCUUAGCAAAAUCAGCCAUUCCCCAGCACAGGCUGUUGUCACUAAUAAUUGGAGCAAAGUGUGUGGAUAUAAUCGUUCUUUCAUUGUUACCUACUGUAAAAUAACAGCAAAAGGCUCCUUGUGGCUGCACAGUGUAACCACUUUGAAAACCUGACGGUGUCAAGUCUGAUGCAGCUGUUGAUAAGAGAUCAUUUGCAGAUUUACUCCAGAAUUGUCCAGUGAAAGACAAAAUAAGAGGUGAAAAAAUUCUCCAACAAAUCCAGCAACUUGGAAAUAAUUACCUUCUUUAUGUUACAAGUCAUCAGAAUUAUUGCUCAGUGAAUAAUGCAGGGACAGUUUCCAGAAGAGUAGCAGGUUAACAGAUGUUUCAUAAAACAUAAGAAUGCGUUUAUUAACAAAGGCCUGUUAGAUCUGUGCAUGCACGGCUUGUGUAAGAACUCACAUUGGUGAGGUACAAGGGCUACACAGUUUGUAAACAAAUUAAUUCAAAAUUGAUGCAUUGUACCUCAUUCAGUGGUUGUUUUGCUUUGUGUGUGUGUGUAUGCUUCUCUAUACUACCCAGGAGUAAGUGUGACACAAUUAAAAGCAGCAUAUCUUGCAUUUACGGGAAGAAGGAAGAGUUGAGAGUGUGUACAUAAAUAUUCCCUGCAGAGCUGCUGGUUUGUGGUAACUACUUUGUAUGUCAGUCCUUAUUCUGCAUUGCAGUGGUUAACUCUUGCCUUUAAAAAAAGAAGACACAUUUGAAUUCAUAUACCUUCUAGAUGUGUCCAGGGGCCAACUCUGAGCUCUGACUAUUGCCACAUUGUGCUGUUGCAUGCAAGAUUAUCUUUCCAGAUAAGCAUGAUAAGUGUUCAAAUGAAUCUAUCAAUAAUCAGUGGAGAGGAUGUUAUAAUACUAAGUCUGUUACUGUAAAAAUGAUAAAAGUCUUUGAAAACAUGCUUGGAAAGGAAUUGCUUUGUUUGUAAUCUGGCUGCAGGUCUGGCAGCAGCAGCUCGUGAAGAGGUGUGGGGACGAGCUGAAUAGAUUCCCUGUUGGCCAACAGAGCUGGGAGGCUGCAUCCUACUAAUAGGAGACUGACUACUCAUUUUUGAAUCCCUUUGGUUAAAGGAAGGAAAAUGGUUUUUGGCCUUUUUUUUUUUUCUUUUUUUUCCUAAUGAAACAUCAGGAGGUAAAAGCCAUUCUUAAGAGGAAAGAACAGCCUACUGGAAAUAAAAGUUCUUCAAUGUCAGAUGGAAUACAGUGUCAGG
ensembl:lncRNA